rnacentral:rRNA from 1 species
UGGGGAAUAUUGGACAAUGGGCGAAAGCCUGAUCCAGCGACGCCGCGUGUGUGAAGAAGGCCUGCGGGUUGUAAAGCACUUUCGAUGGGAACGAAAUGUGCCGGGUUAAUACCCCGGUAAGCUGACGUUACUCAAUGAAGAAGCACCGGCUAACUCUGUGCCAGCAGCCGCGGUAAUACGAAGGGGGCUAGCGUUGUUCGGAAUCACUGGGCGUAAAGCGCACGUAGGCGGAUGUGCCAGUCAGGGGUGAAAUCCCGGAGCUCAACUCCGGAACUGCCUCUGAUACAGCACGUCUUGAGUUCGAGAGAGGUGGGUGGAAUUCCUAGUGUAGAGGUGAAAUUCGUAGAUAUUAGGAAGAACACCGGUGGCGAAGGCGGCCCACUGGCUCGAUACUGACGCUGAGGUGCGAAAGCGUGGGGAGCAAACAGGAUUAGAUACCCGGGUAGUCCCUGAGCGGGCUGGCAAGGCGCAU